UUUAUGGAGAGUUUGAUCCUGGCUCAGGAUGAACGCUGGCGGCGUGCCUAAUACAUGCAAGUCGAGCGAACAGAUAAGGAGCUUGCUCCUUUGACGUUAGCGGCGGACGGGUGAGUAACACGUGGGUAACCUACCUAUAAGACUGGGAUAACUUCGGGAAACCGGAGCUAAUACCGGAUAAUAUUUCGAACCGCAUGGUUCGAUAGUGAAAGAUGGUUUUGCUAUCACUUAUAGAUGGACCCGCGCCGUAUUAGCUAGUUGGUAAGGUAACGGCUUACCAAGGCGACGAUACGUAGCCGACCUGAGAGGGUGAUCGG
rnacentral:rRNA from 1 species